rnacentral:rRNA from 1 species
GACGUAGGGCGCGAGCGUUGUCCGGAAUUAUUGGGCGUAAAGAGCUCGUAGGCGGCUUGUCGCGUCGACUGUGAAAACCCGCGGCUCAACUGAGGGCUUGCAGCUGAUACGGGCGGGCUGGAGUUCGGUAGGGGAGAGUGGAAUUCCUGGUGUAGCGGUGAAAUGCGCAGAUAUCAGGAGGAACACCGGUGGCGAAGGCGGGUCUCUGGGCCGAUACUGACGCUGAGGAGCGAAAGCGUGGGGAGCGAACAGG